CAGUUCGUACUUGUGUUAUGCUAAGAUGGCUCAGUGUAGGUAACUUCUGUUCUUUUUCCAAUACGUGUAUUAUUUUAAGAAUGAAUGAGCCUGAAACGUCUACUUCGUUUGGAAGCAACACAGAAAUACAUAUCAAUUCACUUUUUCUGCCCGCCUAGCUUAUUACUUGGAAGAAACCACUGGAUAAGUAGAUGCUACUCCAAAGAGCGGGGAGCUGAACCGUUGUGGAAAACGGACCGUGUAACAGAUUUUGAAUGUAAACAUAUAUUUGGCCUAAAAACAAGAGCCAAAAGAUGUGUCCUAAAACAGAUACAAAGCCCGGACAGAGCGAGUCGCCAAAACUGUUCCUGUUUGCUGUGACACACACCCAGCGGUCAGACUGAAGGAGAAGCCAGAACAUCCCUUCCACUCUUACAAGUGCAGAGACACUGGGCGCAUCAUUCCCAACCGGUCCCCAUCUUGAUGAGCACAAUGGACUGCAGCUGAGCGUAAUGAGAAAGGAGCCGGACAUGACAUCAGUAUUGGGAGAGCGGAAGUGGCGUCAUUAUCAGGAGCCGGAAAACGGAAGUGACUUUGGGCGGCCACUUUGUGAAUUUGGUGCACACAAGAAGAUCGACAACUUUGACAUUUUUUACUUCACUUCCGAUGUCCGUCUGUCUGGACCCGCCUGUUCCUGUCAGGACUCCAUAUUACCCAAAGCUCUGCCAUCUUGAGCAGUCGAUUACAGAGACUUAUGUCUGCAUGACAUUUAUUUUAUUUUUUUUAACUUGUUUUAAACCCAUAUUUUGUUUUGAAUAUACAGGGUUUGCUUUCAGGUGCCCCAAAACUCUAUCUUGUCCGACUCUUUUGGCAUAGUCAACAGGAUUCUUGGAACAUUGCUGGCAAAUUGUGUAACAGAAAGAAAAUCCAGGCUUUAAAACUCAAAGUCGGGGAGCAACGGAUGCAGCUCACUGAGAUGGAGACUAACGUUUUGGACACAGGUCUCUGUACUGCGUUGAGCCAAGGUGUUUACAUUGUUGAACACCUCAUCUUGUCCCUGAGUUUGGAAACUACUGGAUUUUAACUCUUUCAGGGCUGAUUUCGACUCUUUGUCAAAAAGAGUCAACUGUAAACUGUGAGAAAACCAACUGUUAUUUUUUAUUUGGACUCUCGUUGCCUGAAGGAAUGUUUGAUUCAUUGGUUUGACCGAGAUUUCCUGUGGUCACAUGAGUAGCAAGGUGCAAACAAUGGCAAAAAUGGGACUGACAUCUGGCGAGACAUCAAAGUGAAUGUGUAAAGCCAAAUACUCCGCAGAUGACAUUUUGCCUAUUUUCUCUAAACUGGAUUAUGACUUGUCAGACUCUGAUUUUCAUACAAGUGAUCAAAAACGAAUGUGAGGUUCCAGCUUCAGCUGAUUGGUCCCCAGCCAAUCAUGAUACUGACAAUGUUCACCAGGUAGAACUGCCACUUAACAAUGAUAAGAUGUAUAUGCCACAUUGCAAUGUUCUGUGACUGUGAUCGCUGCUGCCCCAGGCACGCGAAGACAGCCUGGCAGCAAACCUGCUGCACAUUCUUGGCAAACUGGAAGCCACAGCAUGCAGCAACAGACGU